UACGUAGGUCCCGAGCGUUGUCCGGAUUUAUUGGGCGUAAAGCGAGCGCAGGUGGUUUAUUAAGUCUGGUGUAAAAGGCAGUGGCUCAACCAUUGUAUGCAUUGGAAACUGGUAGACUUGAGUGCAGGAGAGAAGAGUGGAAUUCCAUGUGUAGCGGUGAAAUGCGUAGAUAUAUGGAGGAACACCGGUGGCGAAAGCGGCUCUCUGGCCUGUAACUGACACUGAGGCUCGAAAGCGUGGGGAACAAACAGG
rnacentral:rRNA from 1 species